rnacentral:lncRNA from 1 species
AUUCUUUUACCCAAUUCACACACAAUCCAAGCUCAUGCCUCUUUACCCUUAUCUUAAUUAAAAAAACCUAGGCCUAUAGAUACAGGAGGACACAAGAAAUAACACCUGAGAGAGAGGAUCAGCCACAGAGACAAAAUACACGACCCCCCCUCCCGGUCGAUCAUCUUCUUCAAGCAGUCUUCCAUGGCUUUUUACUGAACAAAAACAAUAGACCUUCCCUCAUUCAAUGGAUCCUCUUCAUUAAUCUUUAAAAAUUAGCUGCUAAACACUAACAGACACCCCUGAAACUUUAUCUUCCUCAUACCUCACUCUUUCCUGAUCUACACUAACCAACGACCCCAUCUCCUCUUGAGUCCAAAUGACCGGUCAACACCUUCAGAAAACGAGCAGCCGCCUCAUCACUAGCUCCUCGCUGCUAGGCUGACCGUUGUGCUUCUUUUCACACCUCUCUAUUGCUCAGAAACACACACACACAGAGGGGAGAAGAUCUUGUAAAAAACCAAAAAGAGGAGAAAAUCGUGAAAGCAAAAACGAAGCGUCUUCUUCUUCAUCUUCUUCUUCUUCUAAUGUUUAAGAUUUUCAAACAUGGAGUUCGAUCAAGUUUGAGGUGUUAUCCACAAUGGGGUUUGUGAUCUCGUUUGAGUUUGAUUGUUCUUUCGAGUUUUGGUUGUAGCAUUUGCUCCAUUUCUGUCCGUGUAUAUACUGGAAAUUUCAUCAAACAAAAGUUUGAUUUUCAGUUUAUCAUGGCCACUAAAGUUCUAUUAAUUUGAAAAGCAAUUUCAGAAAAAACAUAUUGCUUUAACACAUUAACAGUCUAUUCUUUUGGUUUCAGUUGUUGUUCGAGUAAGGCUGUCUGUCGAGGUUGGAGCUCACAGUUAUUGUCCCUGAUUUUGUAGCUGAUUUUCCGAUCAAAUUUCAUCGCCGAGUCGCGCACACAGUCAGGCCGAAGCAGUGCUGCUGAUCUUGCUGUUGGCCCGUUGUGGAGCUCCUAAGUUGUUGUUGCUUCGCUGAAUGUUUUGAACUUCUUUCUCACAUCCUAGUUGUUGGUUGGUUGUUUGUUUCUUAUAUUUUCUGCUGGAAGGUAAUUCAUCGAAUUCACCUUUAUUUGGUGUUACUUGUUUGUUAAUUACGUUACAUUGUAGUUGUAAAUGUGUUGAAUGGAUUUGUUGCAAGAAACGUUUCUGUCAAUUGUCAUUGGGAUAAUUUAUAGCUUAUAAUCUCCAUUAAAGAGGAGGGCAAUUCCAUCCUUAAUUGGAUUUCCUUUUAAUUAAUUUUAUAUGAAGUUAGAAUAUCUCAAUAUCCAUGUCCAAGUGAGCUGUAUUAGGACAAUAGAUGGCCGUUUGAUUUGGGUUCUGCUCGAAUUGACUGAUUUACGCAAAUAGCCAUUAUCAUGGUUGUAUUAUUUCCAUUAAGUUACUUAUUGUAACAGUAUUGAUUUCUAUUCUGCGUGCAUCGUUCAAAGUUGUCAUUUUAUUUACAUUGAUUACUUCCUGUGUGUUCUCAUAUUUGAAAUUUAGAAUGCUUUAGGAAAUUUCAUUCUUUACUAAGUUUAUAUUGUUGAAAGUGCCAAUCAGUCUUCAUACGGACGUGCAAUAUUAGUAUAUGAAUAAUUGUGAACAUUUGUAGUUUGCUUUAAGUUGAGCGCAAUAUUUUUUAAAAAUAAAUUGAGGUGUGCCAUGCCAAAUAAAAAUUAUAACGCAUGGCCCUCAUUUAAUUAAUUUUAAUUCUUUAGAAAUCGAGGCAUGCCAUUUAGUUGAACUUUUAUGUCCCUCGAGAAGUUGCAAACACGUAGUUGCUUUAGGUGCGUUCUUUUAAUAAUCUACCUUCCUAAACUCCGGUGCACAUUUAUGUGACCCAAAUUCAAGUCUCAACAAUGUUAGAUAAAAUCUGUCGAGAGUCGCGAGUGCAUUUAUGUGACGUGGUUCAAGACGUAUUUUAAAUGACAUUGCAAUUUUUCUUAAAAAUAAUUAAAGGGGUUAAUAAAGUUAAAAAUGUACAUAGGUUUGAACAUGUACUAAACUCAUAUAAUAGGCCAAUAAUAAAAGUUGAGUGACCAUUCUAGAACCACGGAACCUGAAAAUGCCCAACUCCUUCUCCCGGGUUAACAGAAUUCCUUACUUGGAUUUCUGGUUCGCGGACUGCAAUAUAGAGUCAACCUUUUCCUCGACUCGGAAUUUGAACCGGUGACUUGGGACACCAUAAGUUAUCCCAAGUGGCGACUGUGAGCACGUGAUUUUUUCCCUGUAUGAAUUACUCCCACAAUUUCAAACAAAAUAAUUUUUUCUCACUAUUUUUAAUUAUUUUUGAUUUUUAUGAUUUUUGUGGCAUUUUUAAUUGUUUGCACUUCGUUUGUGCAUUUUAAUUAAUGAAAAUAUAAAAAACACGUGUGGCAUGUGCAUUUAGGAGUAAUUUUGUAUUUUUAAAGAAUUAUUAGGUGAUUGGUUCAUUUUAUGAGAACGAAAUUCAAAAAUAGUCUAAAUUGUAAUUUAAUUCUAGCUGUGAUUUUUAGGUGAUUUCUUCCCUUUUAAUUUUGCUUUACAUAUUAUGAUAAUUACUUAUUAGGAAUAAUUAGUAUUUUAUGGGAUUUUUAGUCUAAUUAAAAAAAGAAAAAAAAACAAAAAAAGAAGAAGGAUAAAACGUGAAAAAAUCAAGAAUUUGGGCCAACUUUAUUAAUUCCAGGCCCAAAAUCCCCUCCCCAAGUCCAUGCCCCGCUCCAGGUCCAGGUGCAUGACCCGGCUAAUCCCGCCCCAUCCUGGGUCCAAGCCAAUCUUUAAUAGUGACUCCCAAACGAUGCAAUUCCGAGUUCCCCAAUGAAAUCCAAUCUUGACCUUCCGUUUCAUCUCAUCCAACGGCCCAAAUAACUUCCCCAUUUUAAAUGUUGUCACAUUAACUUAUGACCCCAAUAACUUCUUUUUCACUCCCAUUUUUACCAUCGCUGCCACCGCUAGAAAUCGCCCAUGGCGGCGGCCGGUGUCCAAAUCCUCCAAAACUUACACCACUUGAGCGUCUCAUCCUCUUCUUCCCAAAUCCGAGCCCUGUUUCCCCCAAAUCCCCUUGGAUCGCUCGAAUAAUUCAAAUCCCAAUGUUGCCUCUGCUUCUCCACCAUCUCCGGCCGGCAGUGGAGCUCGAAUCGCUAUGAAAAUACGACCAUGCACCCAUCACCCGACCCCGAGUUUCAAUCCAACACUGCCCCCACCAAAUCCUCACCAAAUCAGAUCGACUCCCCAUCUGAAAUUAAAAGAAGGAGAUCCCUCAAGCCUUCAAACUCUCAGGAAUUGAUUGGCUUGAAAGUAAUAAAGCAUGACUAUUUUCAAAGAACACAAGGGCAAUAUCAAUUUUGGGUCGAAUCGAAGAUGUCGGAGCGUGUUCAAGCCCGUGUUUGUCCUCUCCUUAGGUAUUUCCUUUUGUUUCCUCGUUUCCUUUAUUCACUGACCUCCCUUUCUCGUCUCUCGUCUACUUAUCAUUCUUAAGGUGCCUCUAAGAUCAAAUUGAGAUUAGUAUAACGAUUAGCUUCGUUUUAGGAUUAGCAUUAUUAAUUUUUGAAACCAAUUUUCUCUGAACUUAUUAUUUUCUUGAUUAACUUAAAUUUCGGUAUAUUGUAAUAGGUGUUAAAUAAAUUUAUAUAUUGUUUCAGUUAAAUUGGUUCAUCAGUUUUCUGAUUUCAUUAUCAAUUGGGUUUUGUGUGAAGACUUUGGGGCAUAACUAUGGGAAUAAGGCAGUAUAUUAGGCUUUUGGCUUGCUUACCUGUCCCAACAAUAGCUUGAUGUUGGGCUGGCACAUAUAGGUGUUGGCUUUCUGGGGGUAAUUUCAGGAACAUUUAAGGGCAGUAUAGGUAACUUAAUUCAAGAAAUCUUUCUAUAACUAAAUUGGAAGCUUCCUGGAAGUUUGGCUUGGGGUUUAUUUUAGAGAUUUUGAAAACUCAUAAGGGCAAUCCAGGCAAAAGCAAAAAAGAAAAAUGCAAUUUUGGAAAAUAUAAAGGGCAAUAAUGCAAGCUGGGACUAUUUGAUUUUGCCCUACUUCCUUUGCUUUAAAAGGAUACUUUUCUUGCCUUUCAAGGCAAGAGGAAAGGCGAAACAAAGUCUAAUAUAAGGUCAUUAACUAGUAAAAUCUUUCUACAUAUUUUUCAGUAGGAUUUUCUGAAAUUUGAAGUUGUUCAUUCGAGGGAGAAGGGUUGUAAUAGAUGAUAUUCGAAAGUUUCCAAUUCAAAUAGAGCAAAACUUACUGUUUCAUUGAGAUCUCUGGGAUUACCUCACUUGUUUCUGCUGUUGAAUCUGUUUGUUCCUAUCACCGACCCUUAGCUUUCAAGGCUAAUACUUGAUUUGGUUUUAUUUUCACUUUCAGGUAUGCUUAAC